rnacentral:lncRNA from 1 species
AGUUGAGCUGAGACUUAAGCAGAAGUGACAGAGAUAGGUAAGUGUAGGAACAGCACUCCAACAGUGCUCCAAAGAAAACACAGCAUGGGCCAGCACAGAAAUUUGAGGGAUAUUGGUAUUUUCAGGAAAUCACAAGUAUUCAUAAUAUUGAAUUGUAUUAUGUUUAAUGGUACAAAAUGAGCAUAAAAUAGCUGUAUUAUGUUUAAUGGUACAAAAUGAGCAGAAAAUAGUAAACAAUGGCAUUUUGAAGGAUUCUGUCCACGAUACAAAGAUUAAAGUUUAAUCAUGUGGAGUUGCAUCAUAAAAUUUCCACCCAAGUGACAAUCAGAUUUGUCUGAAAGACCCCUCUGUUAGUGGAGUAAAGGAUGGAUCAGAGGAGAGGGAGAACAGAGACAGGGAGAGGGGGAGUCAAAAAAUGGAGCUGUUGCAGGAUAAAGGCGGUGAGGCGUGAUGAGGGUUUGUAUUAGGGCAGGAGCUACAGAAAUGGAGAGGGAGAGACAAAUACAAGACAGAUCAAAAAAUCAAAGUCAAUGAGACUUCCUGAUAGAUUACAUAUGGGGCAUGUAGGGAAAACAGUAUGUAAAGCAAGUGAUCUAUUGCAAUGGAUUAAAUGUUUGUGUCCCCGCAAAGUCAUAUUUGACUAACCCCCAAUGGGAUGGUAUUAAAAGGUGGAAUCUUUGGGAGGUAAUCAGGUCAUGAGGGUGGAGGAUUGUGAAUGAAUAGGAUUGUGCCCAUACAAAAGGGUCCACAGAGAGUUAUCUCACCAUCUUUUCCAUAAAGUGAGGACAUCACAGAGAUGACAGUCUGCAAUUCAGAAGACAGCCUUCACCAGAACCAGACCAUACUGGUACCCUGAUGGUGGACUUCCAACAUCCAACGGUGAGAAUUGGAGGCAGGGCAGAACUGCAGGUGUCAAA